rnacentral:tRNA from 1 species
GGAGAGAUGCGAGAGUGGUUGAAUCGAACGGUCUUGAAAACCGUCAGGCCGCAAGGCCUCCUGGGUUCGAAUCCCAGUCUCUCCG